rnacentral:rRNA from 1 species
GCGGUGCUUANCACAUGCAAGUCGAACGAUGAUCCGGUGCUUGCGCCGGGGAUUAGUGGCGAACGGGUGAGUAACACGUGAGUAACCUGCCCUUGACUCUGGGAUAAGCCUGGGAAACUGGGUCUAAUACCGGAUAUGACUUCUCAUCGCAUGGUGGGGGGUGGAAAGCUUUUUGUGGUUUUGGAUGGACUCGCGGCCUAUCAGCUUGUUGGUGGGGUAAUGGCCUACCAAGGCGACGACGGGUAGCCGGCCUGAGAGGGUGACCGGCCACACUGGGACUGAGACACGGCCCAGACUCCUACGGGAGGCAGCAGUGGGGAAUAUUGCACAAUGGGCGAAAGCCUGAUGCAGCGACGCCGCGUGAGGGAUGACGGCCUUCGGGUUGUAAACCUCUUUCAGUAGGGAAGAAGCCCUCUUUGGGGGUGACGGUACUUGCAGAAGAAGCGCCGGCUAACUACGUGCCAGCAGCCGCGGUAAUACGUAGGGCGCAAGCGUUAUCCGGAAUUAUUGGGCGUAAAGAGCUCGUAGGCGGUUUGUCGCGUCUGCUGUGAAAGACCGGGGCUCAACUCCGGUUCUGCAGUGGGUACGGGCAGACUAGAGUGCAGUAGGGGAGACUGGAAUUCCUGGUGUAGCGGUGAAAUGCGCAGAUAUCAGGAGGAACACCGAUGGCGAAGG